GUAAAUCUGCCUCCAUCUUCCCAUGUGCAUAAAGACCCCAUCCAGACAUUUGGUCUUUGCUCUGUCAUGAUUUUUAAGUAGCUCUACCCUCCCAUAACUCCUCCUGUCACAAACACACACGCAGCCUGCUGCGAAGACGUGCUGAAGUGUAAAUCUCACACAGCCGAGCGUUUCCUGCAUCUCUCCGGGCUACGCCGCAGAGACCCCGUUACACCAAAACACACUUAUUAUGCGCCACGACAACAGAAAACAAUGCCUCUUCCCCGGUGAUGACUAUUCGUGGAUGUGUAAUUAUUGGAUGGCUUUAAUCAGAUCCAUUGCAGGAGGAGACGGCGUGCGGAGCAUCAAUCCCAGGCCAUCUGCAGUUGGAGAGCACUCUGCCAAAUGUCUCGGGUGGAUGUGCCCGGCCGAGGAACUGAAGAGAGUCUGUGAACAGCACAAUGUCACAAACUACAUGAAGCAGAAGCCACUCACAAAAACACCUUUUUUUUUCGCACUUUCUCAACCUUCACCGCUGAAAAAGCAGAAGAAUUUGGGCAGAAAUAGGAGCCAGGUGUGUGAUGUUCAGCAUCUAUAUGACCCAGGUCCCAUGAACCAUUACUGACCGUGAAAACCACCACAAGGCCGUGAGGCGUACGGUUCUUCUUCGGCACACAAACACAAGAUCUCUCCUACACUUUCUCUCUGGCUUCUGCUUUAAACCCCACCCAAACCUCGCUCCGCUUGGACGCGGCCUACAUUUCACCAUUCCAGGUUCCACUACGUGUUAUUCUCUUGAAAACACAUUGGAUGACAUCAAGCAGCUCUGGGUUCAUGGAAAAUACAGCCUCUGCUGCCAAAAUGGCUUUUGGUGGACGUUUCUGGGCAGAAGCUCAAACCGUGGUGUGUUUUUCCAGCAGUAAUAAGGGAAUUUUUCAGUUACUGUCUCGUGGCCGGGCUCCACACUGCUCUGCACCGGCCAAAGUUUUCAAAGAAAAAAACAGCUGGAGCUUUGAGUAAAAAUAAGUUCUCUUCUGUCUGUAAAGAGAGACAACUUUUUAUGGUUCACUAGGAGAUUAUUUGCAUUUAAAGGACACCUAAAAUUGAAAAUCUUUCAUAAUUUAUUAACUUCAUGUCAUUUUGACCUGUAUGACUGACUUCUAUUAUAUAAGCAGAAAACAACAAAUGGAUAUUGGACAUGAGGGUGAAUCUUCACUGUGCUAUUGUGCGGUCAUGGGUUUGAACCCAUGAAACACGCAUACUGAUAAGAAAUGUAUCCGUUGUAGUCAUUUCGGAUAAAUGUUGGACAAAAAAAUGAAUAAAUAUUGACAGAGUUUUUCAUUUUUUGAUGAACUGUACUUUUCAUAUGAACAGGAUGCUAUUAUAGUUGGUUUGCUGGAGAAACCAAAAUCACAAAAUUCAAAAUUCUUUCAUUUGCAUAUUGUUUUAUAUCUGAACAGU